GCCCGGGUGGCGGAACGGAAUACGCGAUCGGCUCAAAACCGGUUGCCCGAAAGGGCGUGUGGGUUCGAAUCCCACCCCGGGCA
rnacentral:tRNA from 1 species